GAUGAACGCUAGCGGCAGGCUUAACACAUGCAAGUCGAGGGGCAGCGCGAUGUAGCAAUACAUUGGCGGCGACCGGCGCACGGGUGCGUAACACGUAUGGAACUUACCCUUUACUGGGAGAUAGCCCGGAGAAAUCCGGAUUAAUAUCCCAUAAUAAAACGAAGUGGCAUCACUUUGUUUUGAAAGCUCCGGCGGUAAAGGAUGGCCAUGCGCACGAUUAGCUAGUAGGUGAGGUAACGGCUCACCUAGGCUACGAUCGUUAGGGGGCCUGAGAGGGUUAUCCCCCACACUGGUACUGAGACACGGACCAGACUCCUACGGGAGGCAGCAGUGAGGAAUAUUGGCGUCAAAUGGAGGCAACUCUGACGCAGCCAUGCCGCGUGCAGGAAGAAGGCGCUACGCGUUGUAAACUGCUUUUAACCGGGAAGAAACCCUCCGACGUGUCGGAGGUUGACGGUACCGGAGGAAUAAGCACCGGCU
rnacentral:rRNA from 1 species